UACGAAGGGUGCAAGCGUUACUCGGAAUUACUGGGCGUAAAGCGUGCGUAGGGGGUUUGUUAAGUCUGAUGUGAAAGCCCUGGGCUCAACCUGGGAAUGGCAUUGGAUACUGGCAGUCUAGAGUGCGGUAGAGGGUAGCGGAAUUCCCGGUGUAGCAGUGAAAUGCGUAGAUAUCGGGAGGAACAUCCGUGGCGAAGGCGGCUACCUGGACCAGCACUGACACUGAGGCACGAAAGCGUGGGGAGCAAACGGG
rnacentral:rRNA from 1 species